rnacentral:rRNA from 1 species
AAUCAACGCUGGCGGCGUGCCUAACACAUGCAAGUCGAACGCGAAAGCCCCGCAAGGGGUAAGUAGAGUGGCAAACGGGUGAGUAACACGUGGGUGACCUGCCCUCGAGUGGGGGAUAACGUCCCGAAAGGGACGCUAAUACCGCAUAAUAUGCCGCCUUUUAAGAGGUGGACAUCAAAGCUGGGGAUCGCAAGACCUAGCGCUUGAAGAGGGGCCCGCGCCUGAUUAGCUAGUUGGUGGGGUAANGGCUCACCAAGGCAACGAUCAGUAUCCGGCCUGAGAGGGCGGACGGACACACUGGGACUGAGACACGGCCAGACUCCUACGGGAGGCAGCAGUGGGGAAUUGUUCGCAAUGGGCGCAAGCCUGACGACGCAACGCCGCGUGGAGGAUGAAG